AAGAUGAAGAGUGCGCUGAAGAUGUUUCCAAAGCAGAACUGCAGCACGGCGUUGAGGUAGUCGGAGCCGCGAAACGUGAGCCCUCGACCCAGCGCGACGAGAAUCGCGGCCGACCCCGAGAGGUAGCCGAGGAGCAUGAAGAGGUCGAGUGGCGUGAUCGAGCGCCCGAUCGUGAACGCAUCCCAGAUGAAGCCCCCGAUGAAGAACGCAGCCUGUCUCUUAUACACAU
rnacentral:misc_RNA from 1 species